AUUGAACGCUGGCGGCAUGCCUUACACAUGCAAGUCGAACGGUAACGGGCCUUCGGGUGCCGACGAGUGGCGAACGGGUGAGUAAUGCAUCGGAACGUACCUUUCAGUGGGGGAUAACGUAGCGAAAGUUACGCUAAUACCGCAUAUUCUGUGAGCAGGAAAGCAGGGGAUCGCAAGACCUUGCGCUGAUUGAGCGGCCGAUGUCAGAUUAGCUAGUUGGUGAGGUAAAGGCUCACCAAGGCGACGAUCUGUAGCGGGUCUGAGAGGAUGAUCUGCCACACUGGAACUGAGACACGGUCCAGACUCCUACGGGAGGCAGCAGUGGGGAAUUUUGGACAAUGGGGGCAACCCUGAUCCAGCCAUGCCGCGUGAGUGAAGAAGGCC
rnacentral:rRNA from 1 species